UACAGAGGGUGCGAGCGUUAAUCGGAAUUACUGGGCGUAAAGCGCGCGUAGGUGGUUUUGCAAGUCGAGUGUGAAAGCCCCGGGCUCAACCUGGGAACUGCAUUCGAGACUGCAUUACUCGAGUAUCGGAGAGGGCAGUGGAAUUUCGGGUGUAGCGGUGAAAUGCGUAGAUAUCUGAAGGAACAUCAGUGGCGAAAGCGACUGCCUGGCCGAAUACUGACGCUCAUGUGCGAAAGCGUGGGGAGCAAACAGG
rnacentral:rRNA from 1 species